UCUGCCUUCCAUGGAGACGCCCAAAGGUGCUGGGCCAGCACUGGCAGGAAUAGCACAAGGGCAGGAUCCGUGGGCUCCAGACACUGCCUCCGACGAGCAUCAUCAGAGCAGGAUCCUGCCUCGUGGCCUGGGCUCUCCAUGGCUCGAUGGAAAAUUAAGUCAGAGGCAAAACAGAAGAAAACAAAGCCGGGCAAGGUGGUGUCCAGGAUGUGCUCGCUGUGCCAACAGCAGAGGGUGCCUGGGAGGCCUGGCUUGGAGAUGAAGUGUUUACAGCAGACUGCUCAGUACCUGGGCUGGAGUCCUAGCAGCAGGCUGGCUCCCGGGAGGUGCUGGUGGCCAGCGGGCUCUGUGCUGAGAAGUGCUGGGAGGCUCGGAGGAAAGCGUGCUGUCGUGGAUCUGUGACGCGGCCUCUGGCACGGCGGCGGAGAGGGAAGAGGCAGGAUUCGCCCCCUCUGGAGUGGCCUCUGGGCUCUCUGAGCUCUGACAGAGCUGCUUCCUCUUGCCUUCCCCUUGAGGCCAGCAUGCGUCAGUCUGUGUCUGCGAUGCCAGUGUCCGGGAGUGGAUGGGGAGGCUCUCUGGCUCCCCCUCACUGCACACAUAUAGGGGCAGGGACUGGUGCCUGUG
rnacentral:lncRNA from 1 species